UACCUCUGGAUCGCGGACAAUGUCAAGCAGUGAGAUAAUGUUAGGACCUCCGGCCAAGUUCUGUAGAAUCUUUAUUUCACGCUUGAUUUUCUUGUACUUUACAGGCUUUAGGACUUUGAUGAUGCAUUUGCUGUUGUUCAAGACAUUUAAUCCUUCGAAAACUUCACUAUAUUUUCCUCUUCCUACUUUCCGAAUAAUUUCAUAAUUGUCCUGAUAUCCAAAUACCUCCUGCAUGUUCUCGUAGUCCCAGUAUUCACGGGGCAUCUCCUCAUUAACAUGAGCAUCUAAAUCUAAUUAGUCAUUUGUUAUCCUUUUUUUAUAAAUUUGAACUUCACAAUACGUACAAACCCGGGAAACUGAGACGACUGGAGCCG